ensembl:misc_RNA 7SK 7SK RNA
GGAUGUGAGGGCGAUCUGGCUGCGACAUCUGUCACCCCAUUGAUCGCCAGGGUUGAUUCGGCUGAUCUGGCUGGCUAGGUAGGUGUCCCCUUCCUCCCUCACCGCUCCAUGUGCUUCCCUCCCGAAGCUGCUCGCUUGGUCAAAGAGGACGACCAUCCCUGAUAGAGGAGGACCGGUCUUCGGUCAAGGGUAUAGGAGUAGCUGCGCUCCCCUGCUAGAACCUCCAAACAAGCUCUCAAGGCCUAAAGACUUAAAGAGAGACUUCUCAGAAGAAGAAAUAGGAAUGGCCAAUAGACACAUGAAGGAAUGCUCAAUUUCUCU